rnacentral:rRNA from 1 species
AGCUCCGGCGCCCCGGGCGGGGCCCACGUGGUAUCAGCUAGUUGGUGGGGUGACGGCCCACCAAGGCGGUGACGCCUAGCGGGUGUGAGAGCACGACCCGCGCCACUGGCACUGAGACACUGGCCAGACACCUACGGGUGGCCGCAGUCGAGGAUCUUCGGCAAUGGGCGCAAGCCUGACCGAGCGACGCCGCGUGGGCGACGAAGGCCUUCGGGUUGUAAAGCCCUGUCGCGGGGGAGAAAGGCGAAAGCUUGAUCUAUCCCGGGAGGAAGCACGGGNUAAGUUCGUGCCAGCAGCCGCGGUAAGACGAACCGUGCGAACGUUGUUCGGAAUCACUGGGCUUAAAGGGCGCGUAGGCGGGCCGUCAAGUCCGGGGUGAAAUCCCUCAGCUUAACUGGGGAACGGCCUCGGGUACUGGCGGCCUGGAGGGGGGUAGGGGCGUGCGGAACUCUGGGUGGAGCGGUGAAAUGCGUUGAUAUCCAGAGGAACUCCGGUGGCGAAGGCGGCACGCUGGACCCUUGCUGACGCUGAGGCGCGAAAGCCAGGGGAGCGAACGGGAUUAGAUACCCCGGUAGUCCUGGCCCUAAACGAUGAGAACUAGGUAGUCGGCCGGGCAUGGGCUGACUGCCGGAGCGAAGGUGCUAAGUUCUCCGCCUGGGGAGUAUGGUCGCAAGGCUGAAACUCAAAGGAAUUGACGGGGGCUCACACAAGCGGUGG